rnacentral:lncRNA from 1 species
GUUGGCAACCAUUACCGUUAACAGAGGUAAUAACUUCAGCAGCCGUGAAGCGAGCAUAUAGGAAAGCAACACUUUGUGUUCAUCCAGACAAACUACAGCAACGAAAUGCAAACAUUCAUCAGAAAUACAAAUCUGAAAAGGUUUUCGAUCUUCUUAAGGUAGUUCAUCAUGUUCUAUAACACCUUUUCAUACACUCUCUGAAUUGGUUAUUCUAGAAAUUUUGAAUUAGUGUUAAUUGUUACUAAUAAACUCCCAGGAAGCUUGGAACAGAUUCAACUCAGAAGAAAGGUAGAAAGCCUUAUUGUUA